rnacentral:rRNA from 1 species
AGCGAACGCUGGCGGCAGGCCUAACACAUGCAAGUCGAACGAACUCUUCGGAGUUAGUGGCGGACGGGUGAGUAACACGUGGGAACGUGCCUUUUGGUUCGGAAUAACUCAGGGAAACUUGUGCUAAUACCGAAUGUGCCCUUCGGGGGAAAGAUUUAUCGCCAUUAGAGCGGCCCGCGUCUGAUUAGCUAGUUGGUGAGGUAACGGCUCACCAAGGCGACGAUCAGUAGCUGGUCUGAGAGGAUGACCAGCCACACUGGGACUGAGACACGGCCCAGACCCCCCCGGGGGGGAGCAGGGGGGAAUUUUGGGAAAUGGGGAAAAGCCUGCCGCAGCCAUGCCGGGUGAAUGAUGAAGGUUUUAGGAUUGAAAAAUUUUUUCACCGGGGACGAUAAUGACGGUACCCGGAAAAGAAGCCCCGGCUAACUUCGU